AAAGACACCACCAGGAAGGGAGAAUGUAAAAGCAAAGUGAGCAGAAGCUCAAAUCUGGAGGAGAUGAUGGUAUAGAGGAUUCGGGGGCACUCUUAAACCUCUGUCUCAUGUACUAAUUUGCAUUCAGUCCACUCUGCUUUGACAUGAAGAUCUUUGCCCUGGCCAUGCAGGUACCAGGUUCUUAAGGGGCUCCUGGCCAGGUAGCUGGAAACAUAGGUUCUCUCUCCAGGCACCAUGAUGACCUCCUUGACAAUGACCCUUGGCAAUUUCAGUGGACUCUGAAAAGCCCAUCCCCCUGGCCCCAGGAGCUAGAGAGGGAGAAACCAGGAUGCUGUAACUGGAAAUGCAACAACACACUUUGGGCAAGAAGAAGAUGGAAUCUGGGGGAGGAUCCACGGAUUUCAGUGCCCACACAAUCCCCAUCCCCCAGGCCAAGGGCCUGUUUCACUGGGUCACAAACACCCUUCCACCAAUACAGGACUUAGUUGAACCUCCCAGAAGAAAAACAAAAACAAAAAUACCUUCUUCCCCCAUCCAAAAGAAAAGCUAGAUUUUUAGCCAUGUUACAUCCAUAGAGAAAUUUCUUCAGAGUAUGAGGUCUUUUACCCUAUGGUUAACGUCAACAAGUACUUACGUCAAGUUAGAUAGAUGGAUGGUUACAUAGAUAGAUGAUAGAUGAUAAAUAGAUAGAUAGAUGAUAGAUGAUAGAUAAAUGAUGGAAUGGAUGGAAGUCCUGAUUUUUAACUGAAAAUGUUGGAAGUUGGAUUUGAUGCUGAAACCUUCAACUGCAAGACCCUCAAAUAUAUCAAGCAUGUCUCUCAUGGAUAAAUUUAAAAGUGUAGCCACAAAACCAUUAAACACACCAGAGCCUUUAUAUAAACACAUUGUUAGUUUCUUGAUAACCAUAACCUUCAAGGAGGAAUCAGGCAAGAGUCUUGUUACCAUGUCAGAGCUCCAGCCCCAGCACAGAUUCCAUUUGUUCUAUGCUCCCAGGAUCUCCUGGCGACCCAUAAAGACAAAGGGAAGCAGUAGAGUGAUGAGACAAAGCUGACUGCUCAGGUUUUAAGGAUGGGAAGAUUUAAGAGAGGCAGGC